UCCUCCCUGUCUUCGCCCGCGUCUGGGUUCCCACGGGCCCGUGGAGGAGGAGGAGCCGCCGCCGGGCGCCACGCAGGUAAAGUGGGAGGGGGCUUGGUGGAGGCUCCAUGGGGCCCGUCCUCGUCGCUGUCCGCCUCCCAGUCAGACAUGACGAGAAGCGUCAACGCGCAGAGAGGAGGGACGGACGACCAACACCACCCUCACGCGCACCAACUGUCUUUUCUCUCAGCGCGUGGCAGUGUAAACCGCCCGAUUCCGGCAGCCGCUUUGAUUGGCUACAGCGUCUCUAACUUCUAGGAGAUCUGCAGACUGUGCUGCGUUGUGCUUGUCUUUUUCUCUCUAACAAGCCCUCAAGCACAGAGAGCAAUGCACACAUCACAUCAAGUGCAACCCUUAAAAUUAUAGAGUUCUUCAUCAGGCUUAACAAAAGCUACAUCUAACAUACAGAGGCUGUAAUAAAAUUGAUUGGAUUGGUGGGCUCUCCCUCAGAGGUCUUCAAGCAAAGGCUGGACAGCCAUCCAUUGGAGAUGCUCUAGCUCUGGGUUUCCUGCAUUGAGCAGGGAGCUGGACUAGGCCACUACAAGCUCUCUUCCAACUCUGUGAUUCUGAGAUCUGGUAGUGUGAGCAGAGAGUUCUAGAGCCAAGGAGCUUGCCUCAGUACUGGCUAUCAGUGUGGGAAGCAAGUCCCAAAUCCUUGAAAUCUUAGCUUUGCAGCAGGAUUAACCAGAAACAGAUGACUCACAGAUGCCUAGCAAAAGUAUGAGCUCUAGCAUGCAUACUCUUAACUGGGUCAACACUCUUAUUGAGCAGGCCUGGCUCAUAAACCAUCACAUGUUCCAAGUAAGCUAGGAGUGGCCUCCUUUAAUUUGUGGAAUGCCUCUGGAAUCACUUGAGAAGCUUGAGCCCAAGACAUCCUGCUCAUGAGCAUACAGGAUAUAAUUUCUGGGGAUAUAAGUAGCAGUAUUGGUUAAUUAUGGGAAGUGGGAUUGGAAUGUGCUUAUGCUCAUAAAAUAUUUCAGUGGCAAAGACCAAGUAUAGAAUUGUAAGUAUUUAUUAGUAUUGUUGCUUCAGGUCAGUCCAAAUUAUAUUUAGCAAGAAAGUAAGAGGAGAGGUUGAGGGGGAAAUCCAUUUUCUGUAGGCUAAGAAUCACAAGCUUAUAUAGACAGAGUUGGAGCAAGGUGGGGCCGGGGGCAGAAACUGUUCUGCAACAUAUACUCAGAGGAGAGAUCAGAUUUUAGAUUCGUAUUUUCAAAAAAGUUCUGCAGGCAGUAGCUGAACCUUUGGCUCUUGCCAGUACAGAUGCUUGGAGGAUAUGACUACUAAUUUUUAGCACAGCCAGACAAAUUGGAUUUUCCUAGAAGUAUUUUAAAUGUGGUGGGGAGAAACAGUCUCUGACUUAUAAGAUAGAAUUAUACAAACUUUCUUUCUGUUUCCCCCCAACAUUACUCACUUGUUCUUGCACACAUACUUAAAAAAAUUCUUUUUUGUACCUCCAGUUUUCUUCAUUCUCAUUUCUUGUACAGUAUUUUUUCUCCUCUUUCUUUAAUUUCUACAGUUCUUGUUUGAUCUACUCUUAUCUCACCCAGUACUUUGUCUUCUUUCCCCAACUUCUGAUUGUGCUAUCAUUCAGUCUCAAAACUCAGUUCUGAGGACAGACUACAUCAUAAAGGGAGAAUAUGUUAUAUCUACAACCAAAUAUCUGUUAAUUCCCUUUCCAAAAUACUUCAGAUCCAUAAGGUGACCAUCAAUUAGUUCAGAAAAAUUUAGAUAGAGAAAAUUUCACAUUGAAGGUCAUCCCUGAUAACUUGGAGUUUUGUACAUUUUUAGCAAAAAAAAAAAAAAAAGGUUCUGUCACAAAGAAAACCUAAAAGUGCUGUGCAAAGUAUUUUAUCAGUUCUAUAUCUCAAAAGGGAUACAGAAAUCAAUAUUCUAAAAUAGAUGAUUAAUGGUAGCUUGCAACUAGCAGCCAUUUGUAAUCUCAUAUUAUGUGUUUCCUUUGUUAGCAGCUGUAGAUAAUAUUUUUGUUGUAAACGUAACUAUUGUCUGAUUUAGGACAUAUAUAGUAUUAAACCAGAAGGAAAGUGC